UACGUAGGGUGCGAGCGUUAAUCGGAAUUACUGGGCGUAAAGGGUGCGCAGGCGGUUGAUUAAGUCAGAUGUGAAAUCCCCGGGCUUAACCUGGGAGCUGCAUUUGAGACUGGUCGGCUGGAGUGUGUCAGAGGGGGGUAGAAUUCCACGUGUAGCAGUGAAAUGCGUAGAGAUGUGGAGGAAUACCGAUGGCGAAGGCAGCCCCCUGGGAUAACACUGACGCUCAGGCACGAAAGCGUGGGGAGCAGACAGG
rnacentral:rRNA from 1 species